AUUUCUAACGAACAAUACAAGAUAAUUGGAUCACCUCACAUUUUUCUAUCUAUAAAUAUCCCAGUCUUUGCCCCCGUUUUCUUCGUUUUAUUAACUAAACUAGAAGUCUAGCCAGAGAAAGUGCGUGUGUGUGAGAGAGCUGGCGUUUGGUGGGUCUCGAUUUUCCGAGAUGCUGUAAGUUCUUUUCCUUUCUUGGUUCUCUCGUUCCUUAUACAGGUUUGCUUUUUUUUUUUUUUUUUUUUUUUUUUUUUUUCCAUUUAAUUUAUAAUUGAUUAUUGAUGUGUGCGUUGUUUCUCCAACAUGUUUUGAUGGUUGAAUAGUUUAAUUAAAAGGAAGCAAAGCCGGUCAAGUGGCGAGGCAAUUGAGGCUUCUGCCUCAUGCCCUAAACCGGAGGGGGCCUCAUUUGGCCCAAAUAUAUAUAUAUAUAUAUAUUUUUUUUUUUUUCGAUGAAGUAAAACUGUAAAAGGAAAAUCAUUUUUUCCCCUCGAGUGGGUUCCUUCCACGAGUUAAUUGUUCCAAUGAUCACUGAACUUAGAUCUAUGUCUUUUAUUGGUCACUGAAAUUUAAAAUGUCGAAUUUUGGUCACUGAAUUUAGGUCAAUGUUUUUGAUUGCUGACUGAACUUAGGCCAUAUCUUAAAUUAUUCACUGAAAUUUAAAAUAUCGAGUUUUGGCCACUGAAUUUUGGAAUAGUCGUAGGUUACUCACUAACAUAACCAUUGAAUUUUGAAAAAUAUCGAAUUUACAGCGAGUAAUGUACUGUAUUUUUCAAAUUUCAAUGAGUAAUGUACAAUAUUUUUUAAAGUUCAGUGAUCAAAAUUCGACAUUUUAAACUUUAAUGAGUCAUUGAAGACAUGGAUAUAAAUUCACUAAUCAAAAUUCGACAUUUAACCAAUCAAACAAAUUGACCAUUUAACUCUCCUUCGUCUUCUCUUCUUCUUUCUUGUCCUCAACUGGUGUUGGAGUGGCUUCAUCAGACAUUCAAACUUCUCACUGUUAUCCGCCACAGCCUCCUUCACAGGCGGCGGCUCCUCAUCUACAUACCACAAUUUAACUCGCUUCCCUAUCAUUUGUCACAUAAACUUGUUAUUUUGAAGGUAUAUUUUUCCUUUUGGGUUUUCAAUUUUACCUUUUUCUUUAAUUUGGAUUUUUUUUCGCAUCAUAUGUCGUUCAAUAAUUUUUGAGAAUUAGGGUUUGAUUAAUUUAAAAUGGGAGGUUUUUAUCAAUUUAUGUUACUUGAUCGUGUUUUCUGAUUUGGCUGCGUAAUUAUAUUAAAAAACAAACCAUGUGCUGCGUAAUUUUAUCAAUUUAGACAAAUUUGACGAUCCCUCAACAGCUUGCAUUUCCAGGUUUGAGAAUUCUUUAUGCACAACACCCAUAUUAUUAUAUUUGUUGCUUUAAGCCAUCAAUCCGUGCAAUCUAAUUUUCUUAGAAUUAUAGCUCUUCAGGAUUAAUAAUGUAUUAACUUUAGAAAUCAGCUUUCAUAUUGGCUAAUGAGUAGCUUGUUAGAUUGCACACAAUUUUCUCAUCUUGGUCUUUGAUUGAUGAUAGAAAAAUGUUGUACUUUGAGACAUUACUUAAAUCUAAAAUGUGAAGGGCAUGGAAGUUAUUUAUAUUGAUUUUGUUAGAAACUUGUGACAUGCCUAAAUUAAGACCUUUCGUGUUGUCCAUCCACAAUCAUAGAUUCAUGGUGAUAGAAUGGAAACUCAUUCUGAGCAUCAUCCAUGUACCUUGUCUUUAUGCAAUUUGCAAUAGGACUUUGAAUUUAUAAUGAAUAGAUUAAUGCAAUAGAAUUGUAUAUUUGUAUUGGUGUUUGAUGUUAAGCCCCCGUUUGGUACCUAUUUUUUUCAAAAUGCAUUUUUCUCUUUCUUUUUUUAACCACAUUUUUUAUUAAAAUAAUAUUACACGUAAAUAAAAAACUUUUCCUUAUUUUUCAACCAUAUACUUCCAAUCAAAUUACUAUUCUAAAAUGCAUUUUUACCUAAAAAUGGCAAUCAAACAUCCCCUAAAUUUAUAUUCUAGUCUUAUGAGUUGUGACGAUGGAAUUCUCAAGAGCGUGAUUCCAUAAUUUUUGUCGAAAUUCUAUUUCUCAGGUAAGCAAUAGCUUGCCCUAACUUGUUAAUGAAUAUAUUAGAAAUGUUUGAAGCCUUGUUAUCUUAUAUAAUUGUGGCCUGGUCAGCUUAUAUAAUUGAAAUAUUUCUGGUUUUGUUAUUUUAUAAUAUAAAUCAUUUGUAUAAUAUAUUUGUUUGUUAUUUUAAUGUUAUGUUUUAAGUCAGUAAUAGAUUGUGUAAUACACCGUUGAAUUUUGAUUUAGGGGCCUAAUUUAUGGAAUUCGCCUCGGCCCUCGAUAAUCAUAGGACCGGCCUUGAAAGGAAGAAGAAUUAUAUUUUUCAUUUUUUUGGUUUUUUUUUUUUUUUUUAAAUUUAAAUAUGAAGGCUGGACUGUUAGGGUUUGAUUUAUUUAAGUACUUUAUUGAUGGAAUUUUAGUAGAUAAGCUAAGCAAUAGUAUUUACAUAAUAGAUUAAUUUAAUCUAUGAUAAAGCUAUGAUUUAAAGAUCUCAGCUUCAACAAAAUCUGCAGAUCCUUUUUUAGUCUUCGCGUUGACAGUGUUGAUGGUGGUUUAUUUUCAUGUAACCCAAAAAAAUAUUAAAGAAAACAAGGAGAUUGAUCCAUUACUGACUAUGGACUGCCUUGGAUGAAGUGG
rnacentral:lncRNA from 1 species